GUCGACUGGUGCAUUCACAAACCCUGAGCUAGACACAGGGUGCUGAUUGCUGUGUUUACAAACCUUGAGCUAGAUACAGAGUGCCGAUUGGUGUAUUCACAAUCCCUGAGCUAGACAUAAAGAUUUUCCACGCCCCCACCAGACUCAGGAGCCCAGCUGGCUUCACUCAGUGGAUUCCGCACCGGGGCUGCAGGUGGAGCUGCCUGCCAGUCCCGCCCCGUGCGCCCGCACGCCUCAGCCCUUGGGUGGUUGAUGGGACUGGGCGCCAUGGAGCAGGGGGUGGCGCUCAUCGGGGAGGCUCGGGCCGCACAGGAGCCCAUGGAGGGGGUGGGAGGCUCAGGCAUGGCGGGCUGCAGGUCCCGAGCCCUGCCCUGCGGGAAGGCAGCUAAGGCCCGGUGAGAAAUCGAGCGCAGCGCCGGUGGUCUGGCACUGCUGGGGGACCCAGUACACCCUCUGCAGCCGCUGGCCCGGGUGCUAAGCCCCUCAUUGCCCGGGGCCGGCAGGGCCGGCCGCCUGCUCAGAGUGCGGGGCCUGCCAAGCCCACGCCCACCCGGAACUCCAGCUGGCGCGCAAGCUCCGCGCGCAGCCCUGGUUCCCGCUCGCGCCUCUCCCUCCACACCUCCCUGCAAGCUGAGGGAGUUGGCUCCGGCCUUGGCCAGCCCAGAAAGGGGCUCCCACAGUGCAGCGGUGGGCCGAAGGGCUCCUCAAGUGACGCCAAAGUGGGAGACCAAGCAGAGGAGGUGCCAAGAGCAAGCGAGGGGCUGUGAGGACUGCCAGCACGCUGUCACCUCUCACCGGGGCCGAGGAACAGGAGCACCGCAGACCUUCUGGACAGUCAGACUGGCUUUGGAAAUGAUUAAAAGUUGAUCUGGGCCUGGGCAGAAGGGCAUGGCUGUUAGCCAAAGCUGAACUGCAUUCAUCUUCAAAGACUUAAGAGAAGCAGCCCCUUCUACCCUCAGCCACCAGGACCAUUCUGUCACAUUCUGUGGGAGGCUCCUGCUAAUGGAAUGAGGCCACUCACAGAGCUUGGUCAAUUAGCUCUUGCUGAAAACUGCUAACGUGGAACUUUGGUUAUCACCGUUAUGAGUAGUGCACAGUGCGGCACAUAUGGUUUCAUCUGGAAAGGUGUGUCUCACACCUUAUACAAAACGCCAGUAACAAAAUGCAUACAUACGUCAACGCCUGAGACAAAGCAUGUUUCAAAUACGAAGCAGCCCCUCAGGCUGCCAUAAUAUUUAGGUUUUGCAU
rnacentral:lncRNA from 10 species